GACGAACGCUGGCGGCGUGCCUAACACAUGCAAGUCGAACGGAAAGGCCCUGCUCUUGGGCCACUCGCGUGGCGAACGGGCGAGUAACACGCGCGUGAUCUGCCCUCCACUUCGGGAUAGGCCUGGGAAACAGGGUCUAACACCGGCCAGGUGCCAUUUUUAGUGUGGUGGUUGGAAAGUUUUUUCGGUGUAUGAUGAGCUCGCGGCCUAUCAGCUUGUUGGUUGGGUAAUGGCCUACCAAGGCGGCGGCGGGUAGCCGGCCUGGGGGGGUGGACGGCCACAUUGGGACUGAGGUACGGCACAGGCUCCUACGGGAGGCAACAGUGGGGAAUCUUGCACAAUGAGCGCAAGCCUGGUGCAGAGGGGCCGCGUGGGGGAUGACGGCCUUCGGGUUGAAAACUCCUUUCGCAAGGGACGAAGCAUUUUGUGACGGUACCUAGAUAGGAAGCAACGGCUAACUACGUG
rnacentral:rRNA from 1 species